AUACCGGCCAGAGACCGAUAGCGCACAAGUAGAGUGAUCGAAAGAUGAAAAGUACUUUGAAAAGAGGGUUAAAUAGCACGUGAAAUUGUUGAAAGGGAAGCGUUUGCGACCAGACUUUUUCCAGGCGGAUCAUCCGGUGUUCUCACCGGUGCACUUCGCCUGGUUUAGGCCAGCAUCGGUUCUCUUAGGGGGAUAAAGGCCUGGGGAACGUAGCUCCUUCGGGAGUGUUAUAGCCCCUUGCGUAAUACCCUUCGGGGGACCGAGGAACGCGCAUCUGCAAGGAUGCUGGCGUAAUGGUCGUCAACGACCCGUCUUGAAACACGGACC
rnacentral:rRNA from 1 species